rnacentral:rRNA from 1 species
GUUAAGUCAGGCAACGAGCGAGACCCACGUCCACAGUUGCCAGCAUACCCUCCGGGGUGGAUGGGUACACUGUGGAGACCGCCGCUGCUAAAGCGGAGGAAGGAGUGGGCAACGGUAGGUCAGUAUGCCCCGAAUCUCCCGGGCUACACGCGGGCUACAAUGGUUGGUACAAUGGGCAUCUACCCCGAAAGGGGAAGGAAAUCUCUUAAAGCCAAUCGUAGUUCGGAUUGAGGGCUGCAACUCGCCCUCAUGAAGCUGGAAUCCGUAGUAAUCGCGUUUCAACAGAACGCGGUGAAUACGUCCCUGCUCCUU